CUUCAUGUACCGCCACCCUGACGGGCUGCAGGCUGAGCUGGGCCUGGCGGGUCAGGAGGGCCUGGUCCACACCUGGCUGUUUGGGAUGAGGUGGUCAGCCCCCCUCCACCUCCCCCUGGGCCACUGGCACUACGUCUGUAUAACCUGGUCUGGGGCUUCUCACCAGCCAGCCCUCUAUGUCAAUGGGACCAGUGUGGAUGUUACAGCCCAUGCUAACGAAUCCCCCCUGUCCCCGUCCUGCUGCAGGCUGGCCCCGCACGGCACGCUCACCCUGGGUGUCUCCCACUACUUCAUCCAAGGGGAGAUGCAUGUGGAAAACGGUACCAACCUCAAUGGGAGUGUUUCUCUGUUCCGCGUGUGGGGGCAGGCACGCACCCCUGAACAGGUGUCGGACCUGAGCUGCACAGAGGGGGAUGAGGUGCGCUGGGAUGCUGUUGACUGGCUUACCCUGAGCUGCCCUCCAGUCCCAGACUCCCAUCUACAGUGUGCCUGGUCUUUGUACGAACUUAAAGUCAAGAUCGCCAUCAUCUGCUACGAUGGAAACAGUACUGACGUAUACAAAGCCAGAGACCUUGCACAGAAAUGGCUCAGACACAUAUUACCAUCCAACAAAUAUCAUUUGUACAGAG
ensembl:lncRNA